GAGGGGGGGAGAAAAAAAAAGAGAGAGAGAGAGAGAGAGGGGGGGGGGGGGGGGGGGGGGAAGCUGCUGUUUGAAAGAGCAGAAGGCUGCCCCGCGCUGCUUCACAGGAAGACUUCAGACCGGAGGAGUGCACUGGGGAGGACAGUGCUCUCUGGCCCUCCGUGUGUCACUCACUCCGCUUAAAGAAGCGCGGCCUUUUGCAGAUUGUAUCAGUGAUCCUGAGACAAUGAAAAGGCAGAUCCUUCAGCCAUCACUGCUCGUCUGCACAGUCCUGCGGUUCUGCUCACGCACCCCGAGGGUACAGAAUCCCCCCCCUCCUCUCUCCCUACCUCCCUCUCUCUCUCUCUCUCUCUUUCUCCCCCUCUCUCUGUUGUUUUUUUUGUUUUUACAGUGCAAACAGUAGUUUUUCCUCCUCAUUUGGCCUUACUGCUUUCAGUUUGACAAAGGAGCCCAGCAGAUGCGAGGCACUCUCUCACAUAAAGUCAUUAGGUAAAUGACCGAGCCUCUCAUAAUCGGAGCAGACUGGCCUGUCUUACCAGCAGCCUAGUGGAAGCCCUCCAUCAACAAGUAGCCGCCACUGCUGUUUGCAAGGCCCGGCCUGCACACGCAGUGGCAAAGGUUCCUGUUGCCUUGGAUACAGGGCAGAAGAGCAGUCAGAUCCGGGAGGCGAAGCAGUUUCCUGGUUGCAAUUUGCAUAGAAGAUUAAAUUUUAAAACCCAGUUCACCUCUCAGAAUAUUGUAAGCAAUGUAGAAAGGAUCCGGUUGCAGACCUAUCUGAGAGACAGCACACACCACCUCCAGAGAAUUAAAGAACAAAAGGAAAACAGUAUGAACUGUGAAGUGAACAAAGGGCUAACAUGAUGUGCUAAAGUCAGGACUGAAGACAUCUGGCACAGAAUUGGACCUGAGACUUUUCGGUUAAUUGUUCUCCCUGAACGGAUCCAGUCGCUCCCUCCCUGGUUUCUUCCUACAGCUGGAUUGGGUCACCACCAGGGAAACGGUCUGCAUGGAAGUGGGCUGAGCAGAAGGAGGUGUCUACAUAUCAUGCAAUGUUCAGACUGCCUUUAAACCAGGAUCUGCGGGUCACUGACACACACAAAUGUCAAACACCACUUUUAUUCUCAGCACUUCUAUAACAUUUGAUUUAUUCAGUGCCGUAAAAUAUAACAAUGCUCUCAUGUUUUUCACAUACUGAAAUUCUCAUGCACCGUUAACAGCCGAUACCAGUGAUAGUCUGCUCUACAGCAUGCAUAAAUUAAACCUUAAUCUGUUUUUGUGACUUUAUUUAGAUUUUAGAAGUUCGAAGAAAAAUGGAAAUACUGCAUAUUGUUGCUGAAUGGACCAAUUGCUGGAAUGAAUAAGACAAACAUAUUUAUACUAUUUCAUGCUGCUUUUUUAAUGCAGGUGCUUUGGAUUAGUGUCCUAUCAUAUUACCUAUGAUGCAAAAUAACUUGCCCCUGGUAAGUGUGGCAUGUUUUUCUUUAUUUUGAAAAAAUGAAAAGGAAAACUGGUUUUUCAUAAAAAUCAUUCUUUUUUGUGUCUUUCUUGAAAAUCAGACAGUAGGAUCUAUAAUACCUGUAGAUUACUCAAGGUAACUUAGCCAUGAAACCUGAGAGUGUGAGAGCCUGAACUGUUAGCCGAGGCCAACAAUACUCUCAUGGGACACAUUCCAGAGGCCAUAGCGGCCCAGCUCUGAAUAUUUUUAGACAUUUUCCUCUAAAGUAUUAAUUCUCUUAAAUAACCGUACAUUGUUUCUGACACUUAAUGAAUAUUAUGAAUUCAACCAGCAAAUCAUUACAUUUUAAUAGCCCUUUUGUCUUUUAUUUUUAAACCUGAGGUUUUUGCAAAAUAAGUUUUGUUACAUUUGGAUCCUUCUCCUGUUGAUUUAUGUUUUUUGGUUGUUAGAUAAAACAUGCUGCCUGAAUAACCUGAUAAGCUCAUAUUUUACACAUGGGUAUGUUAUAACAGUCAGCAGUCUUCACUGUGUUUAACACUGGGCAUUUCUCAGAUGCAUAAAAGGAAUCAUAGAGCCAUACCAUGAUCUAUAUUUUCUUCAUACAAAUCUGUGAAUACUGACAUUAAUUAAAUUAACUAAUGAGCAUAUGCCUCUUGGAUUUCUGUAUCCAGCUUUUAAAUCCUGAAGAUUCCUGAUACAUUGAUACUGUGGGAAAAAAACCUGUAAAUGUGAAUUGUGACACAUACCCACUGACAUACACUAUGUGAGCAAAAUUAUCUGGACACCCCUUGGUCUGGGGCUGUUUAUCAAGGUUUGGGCUAGGCCCCUUAGUUCCAUUGAAGGCAAAUCUUAGUGCUACAGCAUACAAUUACAUUCUAGAUGAUUCUGAGCUACCCCAACAGUUUUGGGAUGACCGUUUCCUGUUUCAGCAUGAUAAUGCGUCCGGGCACAUAGCAAGGACCAUAUAGAAACUAUUUUGUCAAAAACUAUGUUGAAGAACUUGACAGGCCUGCACAGAGCCCUGUCCUCGGCCCCAUCCAACACCUUUGGGAUCAUUUGGAAAGCCAACUGUCAGCCAGAUGUAAUCAUCCAACUGGUGCCUGACCUCACUAAUGCUAUUUUGGCUGAAUUUAAACACAUCUCCAAAAACUAGUAUAAAGCCUUCCCAGAAGUAUGGAGGUUGUUGUAGCAGCAAUGGGUGGACCAACACCAUAUUAAUGCCAGUAAUUUUAGACGAGAUGUUGCUUGUCAGGUGUCCACCUACUUUUGGCUAUGUAGUGUAUUUGUCCACACAUACAUAAAAUAUCCAGUAACUUGUGAUUCAAUCAUUUCUUAGUUGCAGAAACAAUGUGAUUUGAUGUAAUUUCAUAACGUUCAAUAACUUACUUUGCAGUUGGUGUUUGGACUAGACUAAAAAAUCACUGAAAUUCACUGCUUCCGAUAAUAGUUCAAAUUAUAUUGCCAUUAUAAGCUUGUGUGUGCUGAGUCGGAUGAAAUAUUAAUGAAAUACUCAACUAUUGGCCACAACAAUUUUAUUCCCUCUAAAGACUAUUAACAUUGCAAUAGUGUUUUUGGGUGUUAGAAUUAAGACAGCCUCCAAAAUCCUGGAUUAUCUUUGUCCAUUAGAACAUGCUAUGAUUAUAAAAUCAUGUGUCAUUAUUGCUUGAAUGUGAAUCGUGACAAAUAGACCCUGCCAGAUUUCAUGGACUCAUUCUAUUACUAAUGUUACUAAUACCAAAUAAAAACUUCUACCGGUCUAUAAAGGUUAGCAAAUUUUGCUUAAAAAAUAAGAAAAAUCUUUAAAUUAUUAUCUUCUUUAAUACAAUCUCUCUCGAAACCUGCUGAAAAAUAAUAAUAAUGACAAUGUUCACACAGAAGUACUGAAAUGCAGUGUACCGAAGUGCUCCCCAUUCCCAACACAGCCCCCACUUUGCAUUCAUUUUUGUUACAGCAUGACGUACAUACAGUAUCUCUUGCUUCAUCAAAGCAGAUUUCAUAUGCAAAUUAGUUUUCAUAUUUAUGGCAUGCCCAAAUGCCCAAAUAAUGAAAUUAGAAGAAACUUCAGUUGUUCCUUUGAGAAAUGACAUCUUGUCUUAAUAUUUUAUUUUUAUGCUGUGGUUUCUAUUCUCAACCAAAAAAUCUAAAGCAUUGUUCCCUCAUUGGUAAUGCC